GAUCAAAUUCCGUUGUUCUAUUUAAAGGCGUUAGUCAUCGAAUGAAAAAUGGAUAAAAAAAUUUUGGAAGCUUUCCAGACCCCGGUCAAAAUAUUCUAUUUCAUAUUAACUAAGGCAAAAGUCAAGUGGAGAUCGCCGGAAAAGGUUGUUCGAAGCAUAGGUGUCUGAAAAAUUACGAAGAUGCUGACUUAUUUGAGGAAUCCAAUUUCGGGCUACGAAUAUUCUUUCUGGCCAGAUGCGAAAUUCUUUUAUCACUACAAAAUAUAUCGCCCACUGAGCUUCCAUACAGAUUGGCCCAUAACCUCCAGGGAAUGGUAUCCGUACUACUGGCCUUCUCCGAGGUCUUAUUGGUAUUAUUUGAGCGACAGUCCAUCCGAACAAGCAUUCAGGGAUAUUAGACUAAGAAACGACUUGUACUUUGACCGAUGAUGAUAACCCUUCCACCGAAAUGUGACUGAAGAAAUCUUGUCGAUCGUCAGCAGCUGAAGAAAAUAAUUUUGCCAGUAUCUGUAAAUAUUUGAUACCUUAUGUGUUAAAUGGUUAAAUAAAUAUAUUUUGUAAAUUUCUUCGUA